CAAUAGCGUAUAUUAAAGUUGUUGCAGUUAAAAAGCUCGUAGUUGGAUUUCUGGGAGGGUGCCGCCGUCCGGCGUGUCCGUGUGCAGUGGCGCCCUUCCAUCCUUCUGUUAGCGUCUCUUGGCAUUCAUUUGCUGGUGGCGGGCUCAGAUAUUUUACCUUGAGAAAAUUAGAGUGUUUCAGGCAGGCUAGGCCGGAAUACAUUAGCAUGGAAUAAUGGAAUAGGACUACGGUCUCUUUGUUGGUUUGAGGGACUGCAGUAAUGAUUAAUAGGGACAGUUGGGGGCAUUAGUAUUUAAUUGUCAGAGGUGGAAUUCUCAGAUUUGUUAAAGACUAACUUAUGCGAAAGCAUUUGCCAAGGAUGUUUUCAUUAA
rnacentral:rRNA from 1 species